UUGUGGAGGAGGACGCCGAAGGUGGGGCUGAUGACUGGGGUGAAGUCGUAACAAGGUAGCCGUACCGGAAGGUGCGGCUGGAUCACCUCCUAACAGGGAGACAACAACUGAUCAUGAUGUCUGAGUUAUUUAUUCUUAGGCCUUGAUCCUGUCACCUUAAGGUCGAUCGGUACCUCAAGUCUAUAUCCAAUUAAAAAUUGAGAAAUUAAUUUUGAGAUUGGUGUUUGAAUUUCAGUUCCUAAACUUUGUCUAGUUCACACCCAACAAGUGUUCUCCUGGGCCAUUAGCUCAGGUGGUUAGAGCGCACCCCUGAUAAGGGUGAGGUCCCUGGUUCAAGUCCAGGAUGGCCCAUUCGGUGUUGGGGGUAUAGCUCAGUUGGUAGAGCGCCUGCUUUGCAAGCAGGAUGUCAGCGGUUCGAGUCCGCUUACCUCCACUGAUCAACCUACUGAUGACGAACUCGAAGGAGAUUAACUUUGUUAGCUGUGAUUUAGACUUUUGUUUAACUGAAUAGAACCUAGCUUCUUAUCAUCCAAAAUUCUAAAUAAUUAAUUAGAUCAGGUUGAUAUGACGCUGGGCUCCCUGAAAUUCUUAAAGGACUUUCAGAGAUCUUCAGUAGAACCUUGACAACUGCAUAGGUGAGUCUGGAAAGAAUAAAGCAUCUCAUGGAUGCAUUGUUCAAUAACAGAAAUUAUCUGAUUCAUUGAAUAAUGUUUGAUUCUUGAGCAAGAGCUGAGACUCUAUUUAGUUCUUUUAAUGCUGUCGAGGCAUUAAAAGUUAGAUUAUUGAUUAAAUUUUUAUUUUUUAAUUAAUAAGAAUAGUGCUAACACACACAUGACUUUAUAGAGAUUAAUUGGUCAAGCUACAA
rnacentral:misc_RNA from 1 species